UACGUAGGGACCGAGCGUUGUCCGGAAUCAUUGGGCGUAAAGAGCGUGUAGGCGGCCUUUUAAGUCCUGCGUGAAAUCCUGCGGCUCAACCGCAGACAGUCGUGGGAAACUGGAAGGCUAGAGUGCGGGAGAGGAGAGUGGAAUUCCCGGUGUAGCGGUGAAAUGCGCAGAUAUAGGGAAGAACACCAAUAAGGCGAAGGCAGUUAACUAUUCUACUCCUGACAUUGAGGCAUGAAAGCGUGGGGAGCAAAACGG
rnacentral:rRNA from 1 species